AUUGAACGCUGGCGGCAUGCUUUACACAUGCAAGUCGAACGGCAGCGCGGGCUUCGGCCUGGCGGCGAGUGGCGAACGGGUGAGUAAUACAUCGGAACGUGCCCAGUAGUGGGGGAUAGCUCGGCGAAAGCCGGAUUAAUACCGCAUACGACCUGAGGGUGAAAGCCGGGGAUCUUCGGACCUCGCGCUAUUUGAGCGGCCGAUGGCAGAUUAGCUAGUUGGUGGGGUAAAGGCCUACCAAGGCGACGAUCUGUAGCUGGUCUGAGAGGACGACCUGCCACACUGGGACUGAGACACGGCCCAGACUCCUACGGGAGGCAGCAGUGGGGAAUUUUGGACAAAGGGCGAAAGCCUGAUCCAGCAAUGCCGCGUGUGUGAUGAAGGCCUUCGGGUUGUAAAGCACUUUUGGCGGGAACGAAAAGGACUGUGCCAAUACCACGGUUCGAUGACGGUACCCGCAGAAUAAGCACCGGCUAACUACGUG
rnacentral:rRNA from 1 species